rnacentral:rRNA from 1 species
CCCUUAGAUGUUCUGGGCCGCACGCGCGCUACACUGAUGCAUUCAACGAGUCUAAAACCUGGUCUGAUAGGGCUGGGUAAUCUUUUGAAUGUGCAUCGUGAUUGGGAUAGAUGAUUGCAAUUCUUCAUCUUCAACGAGGAAUGCCUAGUAAACGCAAGUCAUCAGCUUGCACUGAUUACGUCCCUGCCCUUUGUACACACCGCCCGUCGCUCCUACCGAUUGAAUGUUCCGAUGAAUACCAUGGACUGAGAGUAUGAAUGGGUUCGCCUAUUUCUGCUUCUCGGGAAGUGGAGUAAAUCUUAACAUUUAGAGGAAGGAGAAGUCGUAACA